rnacentral:misc_RNA from 1 species
AAGUCGUAACAAGGUUUCCGUAGGUGAACCUGCGGAAGGAUCAUUAACACGUAUCCAAACGUUAAAACCCCCCCCGUGAACCUUCAUCCUGCUCUUGUAACCCGCGUAGUUCGCAAUCUCUGAUAAAUCAUAGCCCGGAAAGUUGUAGUGAUUCAGAGACCUCUGGCUACGUGCGAACAUUGGAACAGUUACAAUCGAGCGGUAGUUCUAUAGGCAAUGUUUCCCCAAGCAGUCAGUGUCGGAAAGUGUCAUUGAUUGUGCAAGGAUAGCGCUUCUACGAUUCCUGUAGACCGUACACUCGGGCAGGAGCUUUGCCAAAGGGUCCCCAUGCCCCCAUACAUUGGGUAAAAAAACCGAACAACUGUUAUCUUGGUUCUC